AUCGUAGGUAGGUGAGAGGGGAGACGCCUAAGUGUUUGUUGUAGCAUGAAUCUCGCUGAACGGUAUCGUAGGUAGGUGAGAGGGGAGACGCCUAAGUGUUUGUUGUAGCAUGAAUCUCGCUGAACGGUAUCGUAGGUAGGUGAGAGGGGAGACGCCUAAGUGUUUGUUGUAGCAUGAAUCUCGCUGAACGGUAUCGUAGGUAGGUGAGAGGGGAGACGCCUAAGUGUUUGUUGUAGCAUGAAUCUCGCUGAACGGUAUCGUAGGUAGGUGAGAGGGGAGACGCCGAAGUGCGUGACGGAAACAAAACAAGCUCGUGAUGGAAACAUCUUCGUCGCAUGCUUUUGUAUCAUUAUCAU